rnacentral:rRNA from 1 species
CGGGGUGGAUUAGUGGCGAACGGGUGAGUAACACGUGAGCAACCUGCCCUUGACUCUGGGAUAAGCCUGGGAAACUGGGUCUAAUACCGGAUAGGACCUCCUGCCGCAUGGUGGGGGGUGGAAAGCCUUGUGCGGUCUUGGAUGGGCUCGCGGCCUAUCAGCUUGUUGGUGGGGUGAUGGCCUACCAAGGCGACGACGGGUAGCCGGCCUGAGAGGGUGACCGGCCACACUGGGACUGAGACACGGCCCAGACUCCUACGGGAGGCAGCAGUGGGGAAUAUUGCACAAUGGGCGCAAGCCUGAUGCAGCGACGCCGCGUGGGGGAUGACGGCCUUCGGGUUGUAAACCCCUUUCGGCAGGGAACAAGCCCCUUGGGGUGAGGGUACCUGCGGAAGAAGCGCCGGCUAACUACGUGCCAGCAGCCGCGGUAAUACGUAGGGCGCGAGCGUUAUCCGGAAUUAUUGGGCGUAAAGAGCUCGUAGGCGGUUUGUCGCGUCUGCUGUGAAAGCCCGGGGCUCAACCCCGGGUCUGCAGUGGGUACGGGCAGGCUGGAGUGCAGUAGGGGAGACUGGAAUUCCUGGUGUAGCGGUGAAAUGCGCAGAUAUCAGGAGGAACACCGAUGGCGAAGGCAGGUCUCUGGGCUGUAACUGACGCUGAGGAGCGAAAGCAUGGGGAGCGAACAGGAUUAGAUACCCUGGUAGUCCAUGCCGUAAACGUUGGGCACUAGGUGUGGGGGCCAUUCCACGGUUUCCGCGCCGCAGCUAACGCAUUAAGUGCCCCGCCUGGGGAGUACGGCCGCAAGGCUAAAACUCAAAGGAAUUGACGGGGGCCCG